GCAUUAAUGGGGUAGUGGUGACCUGGGUCGUUGCCAGAAUCUAAUCUGAUUCGACCCGCCGGGAGUUCGAUUCUCUCUUAAUGCA